UACGGAGGGAGCUAGCGUUAUUCGGAAUUACUGGGCGUAAAGCGCACGUAGGCGGCUUGUCGCGUCGGGAGUGAAAUCCACUGGCUUAACUGGUGGCUUGCUUUCGAUACGGGCAGACUGGAGGUAUGCAGGGGAGAACGGAAUUCCUGGUGUAGCGGUGAAAUGCGCAGAUAUCAGGAGGAACACCGGUGGCGAAGGCGGUUCUCUGGGCAUGUCCUGACGCUGAGGAGCGAAAGUGUGGGGAGCGAACAGG
rnacentral:rRNA from 1 species